rnacentral:rRNA from 1 species
UACAGAGGGCGCAAGCGUUAAUCGGAAUCACUGGGCGUAAAGCGUGCGUAGACGGUUCUGUAAGUCGGGUGUGAAAGCCCCGGGCUCAACCUGGGAAUUGCAUUCGAGACUGUGUAGCUAGGGUACGGAAGAGGGGAGCGGAAUUUCAGGUGUAGCGGUGAAAUGCGCAGAUAUCAGGAGGAACACCAGUGGCGAAGGCAGCACUCUGGGACGUGACUGACGCUGAGACGCGAAGGCGUGGGGAGCAAACAGG